AAGAAAAAAAAAAGUGCAAAACACCGCCAUUGACGACGUCUAUAAGAAUGCGAAUCUCUCUUCUCAACUUCACUUCCUAAGUUGGUUGUGAUUUCUCAAUAAGUGGUUUUUAUUCUCCGUAACUUCAGUUUUCUGUGGCACUAUUCUUUAUUUUCCCUUCUUUCUCAAUUGCUGGGUUCUUUCUUUCUCUGCUAUUUCUUUGAAUAAUGGAAACGGAGUAAUGGGAUCAAGGCACCAUGUGGGUGAAUUUCGGAGGCUCAUUUCAACAAAAUUUCAAGGAUGAAUACGAGGGAAUUGGUUUUUGCAAAAUCUGCUUGUUUAGGGUUCUAAAGAAUGUAUGGAUCAACAAUGGUGGGAGAAGAAAUUUUAUUAUCUUCACGUUUCGGUAAUGGAGAUGGAUCCCCCUCUUUUCUUUUGUUGGUUCUCUUUAUAAAGAAGUUUUUUAUUUUCUCUCAAAUCUUUGCAUUUUGAUGCUUAACGUCGGAGUUCAUUAUAAAGAUGGCUUUUUUCCUGCAAAUUAUUGCUGUUAUGGAAUAUAUUCAAGUCCAAGAAAAGAAAAAGGGUUUGCUUGCUUUUUAAUUAUGAUGUUACUUUUUUUAUUAUCUUGGGGAUGAAUUGGUUUUGGAAUAAUUGGUUUUUUCUUUAUUUUCCCAACUAUUUUUCUGUUAUUGAAUUAUGGACAAUUGAGUUUUGUCAUUUGAUGUGGGAUGCUCUGUUUUCUCCUAUGUUUAUGAUUUGGAUGUGACUCUGGAGUUUGAAUUAUUUCAAUUCUACCUUGCACAAUGUAUGUUUGAGCCGUUUGGGAAAAGAAAAUUGUUGCAGUAUGAUAUAUGAUUGACUUUACACCAUGACAAACUUAGUUACAGAAUUGUUUCAAUUCUUUAGCAAUGAAUUUUUUUACUAAGUGGAUCAAAUAAGAUGUUGUCCCUUGGAAAAGUUGUGUAAUGAUUUGUUGAUGGUAAAAUUGUGCGAUAAUUUUUAUGAUUCUUGUGACCCUAGAAAACUGAAAUGUGUGGAAGGGUAAUGUACUUGGCUUUUCCUGUCCAAUGUUAUUGAUAUGUAACAAUAUUUGUGAAACUAUGAAUUUUGAUGAGGGGUUUUAGUCCCUAUGAUCCAACCCUAUGAAUUGUGGGAAAGUAUCUUAGUCCCUAUGACCCGAUAAUAUCGGAUAAGAUGAUAUAUAUGUGGCCUUACAAAAUUGAAUUGUGGCAAAGUAUCUUAGUCCCUAUGACUCUAGAAAAUCGGAUACAAUGACGUGUAGUCCUAUGAAAUUGAAUUGUGAUGAAGGAUCAUAGUCCCUAUGACCCGAAAAUCGGAUAUGACUCUAGAAAAUCGGAUACAAUGAUGUGUGGUCCUAUGAAAUUGAAUGAAAAAAUCGGAUACAAUGAUGUGUGGCCUUAUGAAAUUGAAUUGUGGUGAAGGAUCUCAGUCCUUAUGACCCGAAAAUCGGAUAUGAUAUGCUUGACCCAUAUGUUGCAAAAUGAUGUUAUUUGGCUUUUUUUGUCCCAUGAAUAUUGAAGCUUGAUGGUAUAGUUGACCCCUAUGACCUUCAAAUAUGGUGAAGGGUUUCUUGGCUCCAAUGUGGUUGAAAUGUGGUGAAGGAUUUCUUUCUUGGCUCCAAAAUAGUGUUUAUCUUGGUUGAAAUGUGUUCUUCUUCAUGCUUUGAAAUUUAUCAGAAUAGUUAACAGUUAAAUCUAGUUUUUCGUUUCAUAUAUAAGCUGCUCAAGAGUUGAAAGAUGUUAGAUAAUUAUUUUGUUGAAAAAUAUUAUAGAUAAGCAGAAAAUAAUCGAGCUACUGAAUUCAUUGUCAAUUUGUGUUUUACAAAAUUUCUCGUUGCUCUUAUGGAAUAUAUUCAUGUCCACAAAAUGAAAAAGGUUUGCUUUCAAUUAUUGGUGCUAUUUUCUUAUUAUCUCGGGGAUGAAUUGGUUUUGGAAAGGUUGGUUUUUCUUUAUUUCCCCAUCUAUUUUCGUUACUGAAGUACGGGCAAUUGAGUUUUGCCAUUUGAAAUUUCUGGGAUGCACUGUUUUCUCUUCCAUCUUUAUGAUUUGGACAUGACUCUGGAGUUUGAAUUUAUUUCAAUUCUACCUUGCACCUUGUAUGCUUGAGCCGUUUGGGAAAAGAAUUUGUUGCAGAAUGAUAUAUGAUUGACUUUUACAGCAUGACAAACUUAGUUGCAGAAUUGUUUCAAUUCUUCUGUGAUGAAUUUUUUUUUGCUAUGUGGAUCAAAUAAGAUUUUGUCCCAUGAAAAAGUUGUGUAAUGAUUUGUUGAUGGUAAAAUUGUUCGAUAAUGUUCAUGAUGCUUAUGAUCCUAGGAAACUGAAAAGUGUGGAAGGGUUAUUUAGUUGGCUUUUUCUGUCCAAUCAUAUUGAAAUGUAAUGACAUAUGUGGCCUUAUGGAUUGUGAUGAAGGAUCUUAGUCCCUGUGACCCAAUAAAAUCGGAUAAAAUGAUGUGUGGCCCUGCGAAAUUGAAUUGUGAUGAAGGAUCCCUAUGACCCAAAAAAACCGGAUAUGAUGAUAUGCUUGACCCUUAUGUUGCAAAAUGAUGUUAUUUGGCUUUUUUGACCCAUGAAUAUUGAAAUUUGAUGGUAUAAUUGACCUUGUGAUGCUGAAAUAUGGUGAAGGAUCUUUUGGCUCCAAAAUGGUUGAAAUGUGAUCGAGCGGUGUUUUCGUGUCAUUCAAGUUGCCAUUGCGGAGAAGCUUAAUAUCGUCCGAAUAGCACUAGAAGGAGAAGCCUUAACUUGGUUUGAAUGGUGGGAGGAACAAACAUCCUUCCAUUCAUGAAUGCGAUUUAAACAAGACCUCCUAAAGCGAUAACCAGGUAUGGCAACAAACCCAAUGGGAUCCCUUUUAGACGUCCGACAAAAUGGAACUGUGUCUGAAUACCGUCAGGAGUUCAAGUUAGCAGCAUGAAUCCAAUGAAAUUUGGGAACAGAUACAUUGAUGUGUAUCUUCAUGAAUGGGCUAAAGAAAGAGGCAGAAAUACUAGUUUCUAAUUUUGAAUGCUUGCAAGAAAUGAUGACUCGAUCACUCUCGAUCGAGAAUUGGAAUAUGGCUUGGCGUGAUAGUGGGGGGAGGAAGAAGGAUAGAUUUAAAUUUUCGAAGGUCAUCGUCAUUCAAUCGAGACUCAAACUAGGUUAGGCAAAGUUCGAGAGGAUUUCAAGGAGGUGGAUCAAGACUAAAUUUUGAAUUUUAAGUCAAUAAUGUUCAAACAACAAGUAAUGGAGCCAUAACAACCCACUAAACUGCAGAAACCAGCCAUCACAGGUCAAUGGGUAAUGAGCCUAUCGGAGUAAGAAAGCUUUCAAAUGAAUAAUGAGCUGAGAGACGUGUUUUCAUUGCGAGGAGAAAUGAGAGGACCUGCACAUGCGUGUCAAUUUCGAAACUUCUAAAUCAAUUUUAUGGGAGAGAAGAGAAAGAGGAGGAGAUCAAAGGUGACCUUGCGCCCGUAUUAAAGGAAAUAGAAGCCAAAGAAAUGGAGCUACAGUUGUUAUCUUACAACUAACAAGGCUUAACUACUCAAGAUAAUAGAAAAAUUGAAGCUACCAAUUCAAAAGGUUCAGAAGUUCUAUGUGGAAGCGAGAAAUGGUGCCAUUGAGGAAGGUGACAAAAAUCUAUGAGAAAUAGGAGCUGGAAGUCCAAGAAAUACACAUUGCUAGUAACGAGUUAUUCUUAAUACCUUUCCACGUAAUCUAGCUUUUAAUACUUCAGUGUUGCUUAUUGAGGUACUUUCAAAAUUUAUAAGAAUGAAUGAAAUUUUAAAAA